rnacentral:rRNA from 1 species
UGGCGGCGUGCCUAACACAUGCAAGUCGAACGGGGAUUUGUUUCGGCAGAAUCCUAGUGGCGAACGGGUGAGUAACGCGUAGGCAACCUGCCCUCCGGCCGGGGACAACACUCCGAAAGGGGUGCUAAUACCGGAUACGAAGUCUGUGCCGCAUGGUACGGAUUUGAAAGAUGGCCUCUAUUUAUAAGCUAUCGCCGGGGGAUGGGCCUGCGUCCGAUUAGCUGGUUGGUGGGGUAACGGCCUACCAAGGCGACGAUCGGUAGCCGGUCUGAGAGGAUGAACGGCCACAUUGGGACUGAGACACGGCCCAGACUCCUACGGGAGGCAGCAGUGGGGAAUCUUCCGCAAUGGGCGCAAGCCUGACGGAGCAACGCCGCGUGAGUGAGGAAGUUCUUCGGAACGUAAAGCUCUGUUGUUCCUGACGAACCUCCCCUCUAUCAACAACGGAGGGGACUGACGGUAGGGAACGAGGAAGCCACGGCUAACUACGUGCCAGCCGCGGC